CUCGCUUCGGCGGGUCGAUCCGGG
rnacentral:snRNA from 1 species